CUUCACAAUAUUGUGCAACCAGCUCUAUCUAGUUCCAGAACAUUUUCAUCCCAAAGAGAAACCCUAUCUGUUCCCACCUCUACCAGCCCCUAAACCACGAAUCUGCUUCCUGUAUCUAUGGAUCUGGUUGUUCUGGACAUUUCGCAUAAAUGAAAUCAUACAACAUGUGGCCUUUUGUGUCUGGUUUCUCUCAGCGUCAUUUUCGAGGUUCAUCCACAUUGUAGUGUGUCACUCCUUGUGGCUGAAUAAUAUUCCACUGUGUGGAUGGACCACAUUGUUUAUCCUUUAGCAGCUAGCUCAUGGAACUGUUUGAAGCGCUUAUUGAGUGUUUACUCUCUGCUAGGCACAGUUGUAAGCGCUUAAUCUGCACCUUCUCCAUGAGGUCAUACUGUGACCACCAUGCCCAGUUGCCCAUUUCCCAGUGAGGGAAAUGAAGGCAGAAAUUGGCAGACAGGCCUCCCGAGGAACCACAGACCAUACUCUGGAGGUGGGGAUAGAAACAGAUAAUAAGGAAGCCAAGAAUCAAGCAAGAUAAAUGCCAGGUGAAGACCCUCAGGAUCUUCCAGGCAGACCAGUAUGUGCAAAGGCUCCAAGGUGGGAGUGGGCUGAUGUGCUGGAGAACAAAUGACUGGGGGAGAGGAAGGUGGAGUGGACAGCCGCUACAGGUUCUGGGAUGUGUGGGGAAGGGUUUGGACUGUACUCUGAUGUGGAGAGGCAGAGAGAGACGCAGGAAGAGAGGAUGAGAGAUGGAACAGGAGGGAGAGGCUGUCUCAGAUCUCACACCUUUCAGCAGGUGCUGGGUGGGUUGAUGCAGGAACUGAUCCAGCUACCCCAGGGUCUUAACCAUCCUUCUCCCAGUCUCAGAAGCCACUGCCAGAGUGGACCCUGCAGAGUAGGGGCCUGGCAGGGUGCUGUGAACACCGGGACAGGCCAGUUGGGUACCAGAUGCUGCUACCUGCCUCUGCCUGAGUCAGCAUCGCCAUGGCAACGUGGAUUCUACCAGAUCCUCCUUCCGGCACAUCCCCCAUCAUUGCAGGCACUUUCACGUCAUUGCCGGGGGCAGGGGCAGUUAUUUUUACCCAGGCUGCUGACAGCACUCAAGGACCAAGAUGCCCAUUCCCCCAUGCCUCUUAGCCCUUUUGCCUCCUAAGCAACCAGCUCCCUGCAGACUUUCCAGGCUCUGCGUGGAAGGGGGCAGGGACUGUCUAAAACAGUGGGGUACUGCAGGUGAGGAAACAUCCUGUGCAAGAGCUGGCAGUGGACAGCUGGAGUGGGCAGCGCUAGGGGGUGACAGCAGUAAGCCAGAGUGUGGGGAGGCCCGGGUGGCACUCAGAGGGAAGGUGGCCCCUGAGCCUCCCGGACUGUGGGCACUGGUGGGGAAAAUGAGGCGGGGAGGGUAGUCAUGGGCUCCACCUGGGUUGGUGAGGACUCCAACUACCCAUCACCCCAUCUGCUUAUGACGGGUGCUCCUGUGAUCCUCCCGCACUUACCUUCCCCCAUCUCCCCUCUUCUUACCCCACCUCGGGCCUCCUGGAUCCUCCGACAUACUGUGCAUUCCGACCUCAGGUCUUGCAUGUGCUACUCCGGCUUUCAGGUGUGCCCUCACACCACCCCCUUUGGAGGUGGAUCCUCUGCACUCUCUCCACUCUCCCUCCCUGCAAUUUCUUCAUAACUCUUAGCACUACUUGACAUUACAUGUUAUCUGUUCUUCCAGCUGUUCCCACCCUAAGAAUGUGGGCCUCGGUUUACCCGGCUUGUGAAUGGCAGCAGCCAGUGUGCAGAGUGAAGGGGGAACCAGGCGAUGAAAGGCCAGUGUCUGGGUCCUCCCGCCUGACCCAGAACUGCAAGGACAGAGUGGGACCUUGGAAUGACCUACAGCUCGCUGGGCAGGUUGGCCCUCAGUUCAAGCCCACAGUGGGAACAGGAAGUCAGUGGGCAGUGGGCAAGCCAGGCCAGGGUGCCUGCCAUGGAGCCUCCAGGACAAGUUGGGGUGGCCUAUGAGCCCCCCUCCCCCCAUACACACACCAUCGCCACAUACUGAUCAUCCGUGCAUGUCACCACCAGCUUCAAUUGCGCGGCCCUGGGAGACAGUCACUCCAUUUUCACUGAAGACUGGUUCGUUCCAGUCCCAGCCCAGAACGAUGGAUCCCAGUGAAAAACAUGAUAAACAUGUCUUCCUGUC